ensembl:rRNA 5S_rRNA 5S ribosomal RNA
GCUUACAGUCAUACCACAAUGAGCACACCCAAUCUCGUACGAUCUCAGAAGCUAAGCAGUGCUGGGCCUGGUUAGUACUUGGAUGGCAGACUAACUGGGAAUACCAGGUGGUGUAAACU